rnacentral:tRNA from 1 species
GGACGCGUAGCUGAGUUGGCUAAAGCGUGUGCGUGGGUUCGAAUCCCACCGAGGCCU